rnacentral:rRNA from 1 species
CCUACGGGAGGCAGCAGUAAGGAAUAUUGGUCAAUGGACGGAAGUCUGAACCAGCCAUGCCGCGUGCAGGAAGACGGCCCUAUGGGUUGUAAACUGCUUUUGCAGGGGAAUAAACCUCAUUACGUGUAAUGAGCUGAAUGUACUCUGAGAAUAAGGAUCGGCUAACUCCGUGCCAGCAGCCGCGGUAAUACGGAGGAUCCAAGCGUUAUCCGGAUUUAUUGGGUUUAAAGGGUGCGUAGGUGGCCUGUUAAGUCAGGGGUGAAAGACGGUAGCUUAACUAUCGCAAUGCCCUUGAUACUGAUGGGCUUGAAUAAACUAGAGGUAGGCGGAACGUGACAAGUAGCGGUGAAAUGCAUAGAUAUGUCACAGAACACCAAUUGCGAAGGCAGCUUACUAUGGUUUUAUUGACACUGAGGCACGAAAGCGUGGGGAUCAAACAGGAUUAGAUACCCUGGUAGUCCACGCCCUAACGAUGAAUACUCGAUGUUGGCGAUAUACGGUCNGCGUCUAGACGAAGAGUAGUAGUCACGNGGAGACGCCGCGAGGUUAGACGUACAGUUAGAGUUGNGGCGNGAGAGNGCGAGCGACGACGAGGGAGGAGG